rnacentral:rRNA from 1 species
CGAACUCUGGUAUUGAUUGGUGCUUGCAUCAUGAUUUACAUUUGAGUGAGUGGCGAACUGGUGAGUAACACGUGGGAAACCUGCCCAGAAGCGGGGGAUAACACCUGGAAACAGAUGCUAAUACCGCAUAACAACUUGGACCGCAUGGUCCGAGUUUGAAAGAUGGCUUCGGCUAUCACUUUUGGAUGGUCCCGCGGCGUAUUAGCUAGAUGGUGGGGUAACGGCUCACCAUGGCAAUGAUACGUAGCCGACCUGAGAGGGUAAUCGGCCACAUUGGGACUGAGACACGGCCCAAACUCCUACGGGAGGCAGCAGUAGGGAAUCUUCCACAAUGGACGAAAGUCUGAUGGAGCAACGCCGCGUGAGUGAAGAAGGGUUUCGGCUCGUAAAACUCUGUUGUUAAAGAAGAACAUAUCUGAGAGUAACUGUUCAGGUAUUGACGGUAUUUAACCAGAAAGCCACGGCUAACUACGUGCCAGCAGCCGCGGUAAUACGUAGGUGGCAAGCGUUGUCCGGAUUUAUUGGGCGUAAAGCGAGCGCAGGCGGUUUUUUAAGUCUGAUGUGAAAGCCUUCGGCUCAACCGAAGAAGUGCAUCGGAAACUGGGAAACUUGAGUGCAGAAGAGGACAGUGGAACUCCAUGUGUAGCGGUGAAAUGCGUAGAUAUAUGGAAGAACACCAGUGGCGAAGGCGGCUGUCUGGUCUGUAACUGACGCUGAGGCUCGAAAGUAUGGGUAGCAAACAGGAUUAGAUACCCUGGUAGUCCAUACCGUAAACGAUGAAUGCUAAGUGUUGGAGGGUUUCCGCCCUUCAGUGCUGCAGCUAACGCAUUAAGCAUUCCGCCUGGGGAGUACGGCCGCAAGGCUGAAACUCAAAGGAAUUGACGGGGGCCCGCACAAGCGGUGGAGCAUGUGGUUUAAUUCGAAGCUACGCGAAGAACCUUACCAGGUCUUGACAUACUAUGCAAAUCUAAGAGAUUAGACGUUCCCUUCGGGGACAUGGAUACAGGUGGUGCAUGGUUGUCGUCAGCUCGUGUCGUGAGAUGUUGGGUUAAGUCCCGCAACGAGCGCAACCCUUAUUAUCAGUUGCCAGCAUUAAGUUGGGCACUCUGGUGAGACUGCCGGUGACAAACCGGAGGAAGGUGGGGAUGACGUCAAAUCAUCAUGCCCCUUAUGACCUGGGCUACACACGUGCUACAAUGGAUGGUACAACGAGUUGCGAACUCGCGAGAGUAAGCUAAUCUCUUAAAGCCAUUCUCAGUUCGGAUUGUAGGCUGCAACUCGCCUACAUGAAGUCGGAAUCGCUAGUAAUCGCGGAUCAGCAUGCCGCGGUGAAUACGUUCCCGGGCCUUGUACACACCGCCCGUCACACCAUGAGAGUUUGUAACACCCAAAGUCGGUGGGGUAACCUUUUAGGAACCAGCCG